UAGGGAAUCUUCCGCAAUGGGCGAAAGCCUGACGGAGCAACGCCGCGUGAGUGAUGAAGGUCUUCGGAUCGUAAAACUCUGUUAUUAGGGAAGAACAAAUGUGUAAGUAACUAUGCACGUCUUGACGGUACCUAAUCAGAAAGCCACGGCUAACUACGUGCCAGCAGCCGCGGUAAUACGUAGGUGGCAAGCGUUAUCCGGAAUUAUUGGGCGUAAAGCGCGCGUAGGCGGUUUUUUAAGUCUGAUGUGAAAGCCCACGGCUCAACCGUGGAGGGUCAUUGGAAACUGGAAAACUUGAGUGCAGAAGAGGAAAGUGGAAUUCCAUGUGUAGCGGUGAAAUGCGCAGAGAUAUGGAGGAACACCAGUGGCGAAGGCGACUUUCUGGUCUGUAACUGACGCUGAUGUGCGAAGGCGUGGGGAUCAAACAGG
rnacentral:rRNA from 2 species